rnacentral:sRNA from 1 species
CAUGCGAGGACGACCUCCGCCCCAUGCAACCCGGGGUUUUUAGAUUCGGGACGGCCCGAG